rnacentral:rRNA from 1 species
GAUGAACGCUGGCGGCGUGCUUAACACAUGCCAGUCGAACGGUGAACACGGAGCUUGCUCUGUGGGAUCAGUGGCGAACGGGUGAGUAACACGUGAGCAACCUGCCCCUGACUCUGGGAUAAGCGCUGGAAACGGCGUCUAAUACUGGCUAUGUGACGUGACCGCAUGGUCUGCGUGUGGAAAGAUUUUUCGGUUGGGGAUGGGCUCGCGGCCUAUCAGCUUGUUGGUGAGGUAAUGGCUCACCAAGGCGUCGACGGGUAGCCGGCCUGAGAGGGGGACCGGCCACACUGGGACUGAGACACGGCCCAGACUACUACGGGAGGCAGCAGUGGGGAAUAUUGCACAAUGGGCGCAAGCCUGAUGCAGCAACGCCGCGUGAGGGAUGACGGCCUUCGGGUUGGAAACCUCUUUUAGCAGGGAAGAAGCGAAAGUGACGGUACCUGCAGAAAAAGCGCCGGCUAACUACGUG